rnacentral:lncRNA from 1 species
UCUAACAUCAGGCAGGCACGGAAUUCGUCAAUAGGCUUCAUUUCCCAUUGUAUUUCUUCCCCUGUUCUUAUUCAUUUUGUGAUGAAAUAGCACAGAUGACCCUGCGAUACCUAGAUUGGGGAAAAGAGUAGGUUUGCAUCUGACACGACUUGCUUUUAAUGUAGUGAAGGUAAUCCUUCGGUGGGUGAGGUUUAACCUUGCGGCACGCUCUCAUUUUGUCGAGGCAGUGCGGCUGUGGUUGUAUAGGUUGGACGAUCCUGUGCCUUUUCUUCUAUAUGUAGUUGAGCUAGUGUGUUUGGUUUUGCAUGCCCG